ensembl:lncRNA
GAGCUGUUCCUAAAUAAUCAAGCGGAGCUGCACGCUGCCGACUGGCUGUGUUCAAAUUGGGUCUGAGUUCCCGGGGUCCCCGAGGCCGCGGGGUCUGCUCGAUGGAGACGGCAGGACGAGAACAGCGUGUGAAAUAACAGGAUGCUGCGGAGUCGGCCGGCAGCCUGAGGGGCGGAUCCGUCGGCGGUGAUUGGCUCUGCUUGCGCGCCAAUGAGUACUAAUUCUGAGACCACGCUGUCGCCUGUCUGCCUGGUGCCGAAAAGACCCGCUUGGUUCCAGCGUGGGGUUCUGCAGCAGGGGGGCGCACCGAGGCAGUGCGUGACAGCGUGGUUUGACUGUGAGCAGUAAUGAGGCCCCGAGCUGCCGCCGCGCUGAGGAGACGCUUCGACGGCCGAGACAGGAGGAUGACCUUGUUGACCAUGAACACACACACGGAAAGCAUACUUAUCUUCUUCUGUAAAGUUCA